ACAGGAGUCUACAGACGAGGGAAGCAAGAAGUCCAGUUAGGAGGCUGCUGGCAAACCAGGAGGAGGAGGAUAAGGCUUGACCCAAGAUGACAGUGGCAGAGACCAGGCGUCGCAUUCGGAUUCCAGAUGAACUGGAAGGAAGAACCAACAGGAGUCUCCGACACAUCGAAUCCAGCAUGAGAGAAGGAGGAGAAGCAAGAGUUGGAUGUUUCGCCAUGUUGCCCAAGCUGGCCUCAAAGUCCCAGCCUCAAGUGAUCCUUCUGCCUUGGCCUCCCAAAGUGCUGGGAUAACAGAUACUUUUGAAUUUCCGAAGACUGGAUGACUUCACCUGGACCUGAGACUUGCAACUCACUGGGCCCUGUGUCCCCACCCAGAAGCAGACUCAACACACCAGGACUCUUUUCCACACCUCUAUGAUUGUAUCCUCAACCCAUCAGCAGCACCGAUUCCCUAACCCUCUCCCUACAAACUAACCUUGAAAAUCCCUAGCCUCUGAAUUUUCAGCGAGGCUGAUGUGGGUAAUAAUAAAACUCCAGUUUCAGCUAGCUCCA
rnacentral:lncRNA from 13 species